GAACCCAGAUCACUUCAAGGACACCCACAAAGAGACCAUACCCCGGAAACCACCGUAUUACACCCCUGGCGGAAGUCUAUCUUCAUCUCAAAAUACAGACAACCCUGGUUGCCAACCCCAAGGACAAAAACAAGGUGUUUUUGCAUAGCUGAAUGGUUGCCAUGGAGAUUAAGGGAUUCCAAACAUGAAUUAAAGAAUCAAAGCAAAACUCCAGACUCUGCCUCAGACUCCAGAGAUGUAACAACUGGUCCUGUCCUCUCUGGCUCAGCACAGCACGGUGGGAUUAAAGUUGCAGCAUUAGAUUCUGCUGACUAAUCAAUGAGGAACCGCGGAGGCUUCUUCCUUCUCCAGGAAGGGAAAAGGUGAUGGUGUUCAGGCCUUGGUGUUUCAACACCUCUUCCUGGGACAAGCCUGGGAGUCGGCUUCCGCUCUCUUUCAUUCAGUUACAUUAUUCCAGAAAGUCUGGAGUAAGAGCAUUUAACUCUUAAUCAUAUCUACUACAAAAUAUCACAGAAUAACACUCAACUGAUCACUGGUGUCAGGACACCUCAUCUACAUGUACAGCCUUGUUUUGGUCCCCAGCGGAAAAAUGCACACAAGAGCCAUCCAGCCAAGUUCAAAACAUUCCACAAAAUGAGGUUCUGGUGGAAAAAAGUUCGAGAACCUACAGUCAAAGUAGAACUUUUACAAGUCCUCUGUUUCUAGAAGCAAAGCUGAUACACUCACAGCUCCCUCUAUAACACACACUGAGGUCUACUGAACCUCAGUGUCAAUCUGUUCCUCAUGAACUAAGGC